rnacentral:rRNA from 1 species
AGGGCUCCGAUCCUGUUAGGACGAAUCAUUGCAAAGCGUUGCGAAUCGGGGGCAAAAGCUUCCGACGAUGCGAACGAGUAUCUGCCCUAUCAACUUUCAAUCGUAGUGUGGGGGACUACGAUGGUUGUAACGGGUACGGGGAAUUAGGGUUCGAUUCCGGAGAGGCAGCCUGAGAAACGGCUACCACUUCCAAGGAAGGCAGCAGGCGCGUAAAUUAUCCAAUCCCGAUUCGGGGAGAUAGUGACAAGAAAUACCGAUGUAGGGCCUUUUGGGUUCUACUAUCGGAAUGAGUACAACUUAAAACCAUUAGCGAGGAACAAUUGGAGGGCAAGUCUGGUGCCAGCAGCCGCGGUAAUUCCAGCUCCAAGAGUGUAUAUUAAAGUUGUUGCGGUUAAAAAGCUCGUAGUUGGACUUUGGGUAGGAGCACGAGGUCCCCCGCGGCGUGCCGUGGGGAUCGAGGCCGAGCGUUUCCCUCCCUGCUCUCGGAACGCCACGAUGGUAAAACAUCGGUUCCGUAGGGUUUACUUUGAAGAAAUUAGGGUGUUCAAAGCAGGCGAAUCGCCUUGAAUACAUUAGCAUGGGAUAAUGAAAGAUGACCUUUGGUCUAUACUUUAUUGGUUUCUAAGGCUUAGGUAAUGAUUAACAGGGACAGUUGGGGUCGCUUGUAUUCAGUGGUCAGAGGUGAAAUUCUAGGACCCACUGAGGACAAACAAAUGCGAAGGCAUUCGACAAGGAUGUUUUCAUUAAUCAAGAACGAAAGUUGUGGGAUCGAAGAUGAUCAGAUACCGUCGUAGUCACAACCGUAAACUAUGUCGACUUAGGAUUCGGGGAUGUUAAUAGAUGACUCUCCGGGCACUAUGUGCGAAAGCAUAAGUAUUCUGACUCCGGGGGAGUAUGGUCGCAAGACUGAAACUUAAAGGAAUUGACGGAAGGACACCACCAGGAGUGGAACCUGCGGCUUAAUUUGACCCAACACGGGGAAACUCACCCGGUCCGGACACGACGAGGAUUGACAGAUUGAUAGCUCUUUCUUGAUUUUGUGGUAGCCGGUGCAUGGCCGUUUUUAGUUGGUGGAGUGAUUUGUCUGGUUAAGUCCGAUAACGAACGAGACCUCAAUGUGCUAAUAGUGUCGCUCACCGGCGGAUCUCCGCGGGCGUCGGCCGACGAGGCCGGUGCCCUCGGGGGUUCGCGUUAAGGUGUGGGCGAGCUAUUACUUCUUAGAGAGACAGUUGACACGACUUUAUAGUCAAAGGAGGCUUGAGGCAAAAACAGGUCUGUGAUGCCGCUCGAUGUCCGGGGCUGCACGCGCGUUACACUGACAUGUUCAACGAGUAUUACGAUUUCACCUGGCCCGACGGGGUUUAGGCAAUCUGUAAACGCAUGUCGUGAUGGGGAUUGUGCUUUGAAACUAUCGCACAUCAACGAGGAAUUCCUAGUAAGGGUGGGUCAUCAACCCGCCCUGAUUACGUCCCUGUCCUUUGUACACACCGCCCGUCGCUUCUACCGAUCGAAUUGCUCGAUGAGAAUUCGGGACGAGGGGGUUUCCUCGGUCGAAAGGCCGGGGCGCCUCUCCGGAACCUAUUCGAAUCUCGUAAUUUAGAGGAAGAAGAAGUCGUAACAAGGUA